ensembl:lncRNA
UGUUUCUUCAUUGAACAGAGAUGCACAAUGGAAAUCUACACAUCAAAUACAUUUUUAGUGUCAAUCUUGUGUGUGUUUGCUGCACUCUCGGGACAAGGUGAUGUAACUACAGGGUUGAGCCAACUUGAGACUGACUACUGUAAUUCUACAGCCUACAAUCCUGUAAAUCAGAUUUGCUGUAAUGGAAGCAUUCAUGAUCGAAGCAGUGCUCACACAAAAUGCUGUGGCCAAGUCAUGUACCUAACGACAACUCAUAUUUGUUGUGGUGGCAACAAAAUGCUUGAACUGAAGAAAAAUCUUUCUUGUUGUGGCGGUAAUUCAUUUAACAAGACGUUCCAGUAUUGCUGUUUAACAAACAACAAUGUUGAAGUGAGGCUCAAAAAUCAACCUUGCCAUUCACCACCUCCAACAGAAGCUGGACCCUCAGAGUAUGUCAACUGCUCAGGUGUACUGUACAGGAGGGGAUCAGGUCUUAAUCAGUGCUGUGGUAAAGAUGUCUACAGUCUAACAGAUGACAAUGUGCUGUGCUGUAAUGGAAUCCUUUAUCGCAAUGUGCCUGAACAGUCAGAGUGUGUCGGAGGUGUUAUAUAUACUCAAAACCAGAUUAAGAUGUUGACUUGUGGCUCGGAAGUCUAUGACCACAAAAAACAGCUGUGCUGCUCAGGUCAUCUCUACAACAAAAUUAAAGCAGAAUGCUGUGGAAACCUCUUGCUGAAAUAUAAUAACAAUCAAAUUUGCUGUUCCUCUUCAACCCAUGCCAUGAUUUAUGAUACCAAACAAGAGCAUUUGUGCUGUGGGCAUUACUACUACAACACGUCCCUGUGGAGCUGCUGUGCUGAACAUCUCAAACCAACACCAAAGACAGACAGUUAUCCACCAGAAUACAGACUUAAACCACUAACGGACCUGAUCCCUGACAUAUGCCAUAAAACAGUGCUCUUUGGCAAAGUGGAGAGUGUGGUACUUCGCCAAAAAUGGCGUGACAUUGUGUUGAGAGUCAUUGUGGCGGUCAGCGAGUUAUCACAAGGGACUUUACUCCAUGUGUCCCUGGAUCACUGCAGUUCUCCUGCGCUAGAAAACAGCAUGACUUACCUUUGGGAGGAAAACAACAGGAAGUACAAGCCUCUCUCCAUCCCUGUUGAUGUAACCUCUGACAUUCACAUGUUCUUUACAGCAUGUGACCUAAAUCUCAUGCAGGCCUUAAAGCGGAGUGUCAACACAUGUUCACACAUGCGCCAUAUUCACGGUGUAUUUUCAAUGCAAGUACACUUUUAAAGAGAAUCAUUUGACCUAUCGGUAAGCCCCAUCCCCCUUAUUUACUGUUGUGAACUUGGACAAACAAAUGGAGUUGCUAACUGUCUUACAAUGACAUGCAGUGUCAAUGUCAAAACCUUGUCCCGAGAUGUUUUAGAUAAAUUUUGUACACAGAAGGAUCAGCAUUCACAUGGGACAUAAAUAUGUCAUAGAGGGAUAUAAAAAAUAUUUUAAAAUAAAUAUUGUGGGUAUUAAUUUGGAAGCAAGGUUUUACAGAUCACAAUGCAAGCAAGAGAAGCCUCGUGUUACGGUCGUCACAAUUGCUGAUGACAACAUCUAGGAUUCAU